AUUGAACGCUGGCGGAAUGCUUUACACAUGCAAGUCGAACGGCAGCACGGGGCAACCUGGUGGCGAGUGGCGAACGGGUGAGUAAUAUAUCGGAACGUGCCCAAUCGUGGGGGGAUAACGUAGCGAAAGUUACGCUAAUACCGCAUACGAUCUACGGAUGAAAGCGGGGGAUCGCAAGACCUCGCGCGAAUGGAGCGGCCGAUAUCAGAUUAGGUAGUUGGUGGGGUAAAGGCUCACCAAGCCAACGAUCUGUAGCUGGUCUGAGAGGACGACCAGCCACACUGGAACUGAGACACGGCCCAGACUCCUACGGGAGGCAGCAGUGGGGAAUUUUGGACAAUGGACGCAAGUCUGAUCCAGCAAUGCCGCGUGCAGGACGAAGGCCUUCGGGUUGUAAACUGCUUUUGUACAGAACGAAAGGCUCUGGUUAAUACCUGGGGCUCAUGACGGUACUGUAAGAAUAAGCACCGGCUAACUACGUGCAGCAGCCGAC
rnacentral:rRNA from 1 species